rnacentral:rRNA from 1 species
AUGAACGCUGGCGGCGUGCCUAAUCCAUGCAAGUCGAGCGAACAGACGAGGAGCUUGCUCCUCUGACGUUAGCGGCGGACGGGUGAGUAACACGUAGAUAACCUACCUAUAAGACUGGGAUAACUUCGGGAAACCGGAGCUAAUACCGGAUAAUAUAUUGAACCGCAUGGUUCAAUAGUGAAAGACGGUUUUGCUGUCACUUAUAGAUGGAUCCGCGCCGCAUUAGCUAGUUGGUAAGGUAACGGCUUACCAAGGCGACGAUGCGUAGCCGACCUGAGAGGGUGAUCGGCCACACUGGAACUGAGACACGGUCCAGACUCCUACGGGAGGCAGCAGUAGGGAAUCUUCCGCAAUGGGCGAAAGCCUGACGGAGCAACGCCGCGUGAGUGAUGAAGGUCUUCGGAUCGUAAAACUCUGUUAUUAGGGAAGAACAAAUGUGUAAGUAACUAUGCACGUCUUGACGGUACCUAAUCAGAAAGCCACGGCUAACUACGUG